GGGCUGGAGCUCAUCUAACUUUUACAUUGUUGUAAAGAUCAAUCCAAAGAAAAUCCAUUGCCUGCUGAAAUAUGAAUGUGCAAAGUUACUUCAGAGGUCCAGACAGAAUACAUCAUCAAGAGAAAGAUUUCCAUUUCAAUAUGUGUGUAAGAACAAUGCACGGGUAAUGUCUCAUGGAGUUGCCAUUCACAAACCUCGAAGCAGCUUUCAUCCUGCUGGCUUUUGUCAUUUUCACCUUAUUUAUCCUGGCUUCCAUCUACACUGAACCUGAGGCAAAGGAUGAAGACAAGAAGUCCUAUGCACAGGAAGAGAAGAGAAAGAAGAGAAAGUCCAACAAGACCAAGACAAAGGUUUCUACAGAUUCCAGUGUUGUUGAAACGGUUUAACAUACGAGGAACCCCUUGGCCUAGUUGUUGAGAAUCCCUCUCCUAGGGGGAUCCACAAAGGAACAGGUUCCCUGGAGACAGUGCAAGACAAAGGACAUGCAUGAGAAAGGAAGAAGCUCUUCAGUGAUCAAAAGGAAACCAGACACAUGAUGCCACCGCUUAAUGGAC